rnacentral:rRNA from 1 species
AACUUUUAACAACGGAUCUCUUGGUUCUCGCAUCAAUGAAGAACGUACAAAGUGCGAUAACUAGUGUGAAUUGCAUAUUCAGUGAAUCAUCAGUCUUUGAACGCAUCUUGCGCUCAUUGGUAUUCCAAUGAGCACGCCUGUUUCAGUA